UACGUAGGGUGCGAGCGUUGUCCGGAAUUAUUGGGCGUAAAGAGCUUGUAGGCGGUCUGUCGCGUCUGCUGUGAAAAUCCGGGGCUCAACCCCGGACUUGCAGUGGGUACGGGCAGACUAGAGUGUGGUAGGGGAGACUGGAAUUCCUGGUGUAGCGGUGAAAUGCGCAGAUAUUAGGAGGAACACCGAUGGCGAAGGCAGGUCUCUGGGCCACUACUGACGCUGAGACGCGAAAGCGUGGGGAGCGAACAGG
rnacentral:rRNA from 1 species